UUUAAGCUUCCUACGGGAGGCUGCAGUGGGGAAUAUUGGACAAUGGGCGCAAGCCUGAUCCAGCCAUACCGCGUGGGUGAAGAAGGCCUUCGGGUUGUAAAGCCCUUUUGUUGGGAAAGAAAUCCAACUGGUUAAUACCCGGUUGGGAUGACGGUACCCAAAGAAUAAGCACCGGCUAACUUCGUGCCAGCAGCCGCGGUAAUACGAAGGGUGCAAGCGUUACUCGGAAUUACUGGGCGUAAAGCGUGCGUAGGUGGUUAUUUAAGUCCGUUGUGAAAGCCCUGGGCUCAACCUGGGAACUGCAGUGGAUACUGGAUGACUAGAAUGUGGUAGAGGGUAGCGGAAUUCCUGGUGUAGCAGUGAAAUGCGUAGAGAUCAGGAGGAACAUCCAUGGCGAAGGCAGCUACCUGGACCAACAUUGACACUGAGGCACGAGGUGCAGGGGGAGCAAACAGGAUUAGAUACCCUUGUAGUCGAAUUCUU
rnacentral:rRNA from 1 species